rnacentral:rRNA from 1 species
AUUGAACGCUGGCGGCAUGCCUUACACAUGCAAGUCGAACGGUAACAGGUCUUCGGAUGCUGACGAGUGGCGAACGGGUGAGUAAUACAUCGGAACGUGCCCGAUCGUGGGGGAUAACGAAGCGAAAGCUUUGCUAAUACCGCAUAAGAUCUAAGGAUGAAAGCAGGGGACCGCAAGGCCUUGCGCGAACGGAGCGGCCGAUGGCAGAUUAGGUAGUUGGUGGGAUAAAAGCUUACCAAGCCGACGAUCUGUAGCUGGUCUGAGAGGACGACCGGCCACACUGGGACUGAGACACGGCCCAGACUCCUACGGGAGGCAGCAGUGGGGAAUUUUGGACAAUGGGCGAAAGCCUGAUCCAGCCAUGCCGCGUGCAGGAUGAAGGCCUUCGGGUUGUAAACUGCUUUUGUACGGAACGAAAAGACUCUGGUUAAUACCUGGGGUCCAUGAUGGUACCGUAAGAAUAAGCACCGGCUAACUACGUGCCAGCAGCCGCCGUAACAC